rnacentral:rRNA from 1 species
UACAGAGGGUGCAAGCGUUGUUCGGAAUCAUUGGGCGUAAAGGGCGCGUAGGCGGCCACCGCAAGUCGACUGUGAAAUCUCCGGGCUUAACCCGGAAAGGUCAGCCGAUACUGCGGGGCUAGAGUGCAGAAGGGGCAACUGGAAUUCUCGGUGUAGCGGUGAAAUGCGCAGAUAUCGGGAGGAACACCAAUGGCGAAGGCAGCUCGCUGGGACGUUACUGACGCUGAGACGCGAAAGCGUGGGGAGCAAACAGGG